rnacentral:rRNA from 1 species
AUUGAACGCUGGCGGCAUGCCCUACACAUGCAAGUCGAACGGCAGCACGGGUGCUUGCACCUGGUGGCGAGUGGCGAACGGGUGAGUAAUACAUCGGAACAUGUCCUGUAGUGGGGGAUAGCCCGGCGAAAGCCGGAUUAAUACCGCAUACGAUCUACGGAUGAAAGCGGGGGCCCGUCGGGCCUCGCGCUAUAGGGUUGGCCGAUGGCUGAUUAGCUAGUUGGUGGGGUAAAGGCCUACCAAGGCGACGAGCAGUAGCUGGUCUGAGAGGAGGACCAGCCAGACUGUGACUGAGACAGGGCCCACACUCCUACGCGAGGCAGCAGUGGGGACUCUUGGACAAUGGGGGAAAGGCUGAUCCAGCAAUGUGGCGUGUGUGAAGACGGCCUCAGGCUUGUAAAGCACUGUUGUCCGGAAAGAAGUCCUUGGCCCUAAUCCGGUAGGGGGAUGACGGUACCCGAAGAAUAAGCCCCGGCUAACUACGUG